rnacentral:tRNA from 1 species
GCCGGUGUGGCUCAGUGGUUGAGCAUUAACUUAUGAACCAGGAAGUCAUGGGUUCAAUCCCCAUUAUGGGCG